rnacentral:rRNA from 1 species
AACUUAAAGAAUUUGGCGGUAUUUUAGUCUUUUCAGAGGAACCUGUCCUAUAAUUGAUAUUCCACGAUUAAUUUUACUUAUUUUAUUAGUUUAUAUAUCAUCGUAGUUUGAAUGUUUUAGAAGAAUUUAUAAUAUUCAAGAUUUAUAAUAAUAAAGGAAAUCAGAUCAAGGUGUAGCUUAUAGAUAAGAAGAGAUGGGUUACAAUAAAUAUAUUUAUAUGGUUAAAGUAUUUAAAGUUACUUUAUAAAGUGGAUUUGAUUGUAAUAUAAUUUAGUUAAAUUAUAUGAUUUUAGCUCUAUAAUAUGUACAUAUCGCCCGUCGCUCCCGUUUUAAGAUGGGAUAAGUCGUAACAAAGUAGGUGUACUGGAAAGUGUACCUAGAUUGUCAAAUUAGAGCUUGUUAAAAAGUAUUUUAUUUACAGUAAAAUGUUAAUUGUGUAAAUCAAUUUAAUUUGAUAAUAAAAUAAUUAUAAUUAAUUGAAAAAUAAAGUAUUAUUAUUUAUAAGUAUUUUUUUAGAAUAUAAGGUUUAUAAUUAUAGUUAAUUUGUAUAGUGAUAGAAGAUUGAAAUAAUAGAAAUUUAGUUUUUAAGAAGAAAAAUUAUUUUGUACCUUGUGUAUCAGGGUUUAUUAAAAAUAUAUUAUGAAUAUAAUGUUCUCGAAUUUUUAAGAGUUAAUAAUAUAUAUAUUUAAUUGUGGUAUAAAUUUUUAUAAUAUAUUAUUAGAAAUGAAACGUUAGUCGUUUAAGAAGAUAUCUAGUUUUUUAAGAAAUAAAUUUAAUUUGAUUAUUUAAAUAUAUAGUUUUAAAUUAUUAAUACUAUGUUUUAAAUAUUAAAUAUUUUAAGGGAUAAGCUUUAAAAUAGAGCAUUAUAAGUUAUUACAUAUAGAAAAAAGAUAGAAUUAGAAUUUUUUAUUGUUUAGUAUGUUAUAAUUAAUUUUUUUUUUAUAUGAUUUAUAUUAAUUUUAGGUUCUUUAUUAAAAUGAUUUAUUUAAUAAUAUUAUAUUUGUAAUUAUGAUAAAAUUAGUAUAAUAAAUUGGUUUAAUAUUAAUUUUUUUUAUUAAGGUUAUUUUUAGGAAUUCGGCAAUUGAAUUUUUCGCCUGUUUAUUAAAAACAUGUCUUUUUGAUUAUAAUUUAAAGUCUAACCUGCCCACUGAAAAUUUUAAAUGGCCGCGGUAUUUUGACCGUGCAAAGGUAGCAUAAUAAUUAGUUUUUUAAUUGAAAGCUGGAAUGAAUGGUUGGACGAGAAAAUUACUGUCUUAAUUUAAUUUAUAUUAGAAUUUUAUUUUUAAGUUAAAAAGCUUAAAUAAUAUUAAAAGACGAGAAGACCCUAUAGAGUUUUAUUAUUAUUUUAAUUUAAGUUAUUUAGUUUUAUAUUUAUUAAUAAUUAAAGUAAUAAUUUAAAUGGGGUGAUAGAAAAAUUAAAGGAACUUUUUUUUUUGUUUUUCAUUUAU